AUUGAACGCUGGCGGCAUGCUUUACACAUGCAAGUCGGACGGCAGCACAGAGAAGCUUGCUUCUUGGGUGGCGAGUGGCGAACGGGUGAGUAACAUAUCGGAACGUACCGAGUAGUGGGGGAUAACUGAUCGAAAGAUCAGCUAAUACCGCAUACGUCUUGAGAGGGAAAGCAGGGGACCUUCGGGCCUUGCGCUAUUCGAGCGGCCGAUAUCUGAUUAGCUAGUUGGUGGGGUAAAGGCCUACCAAGGCGACGAUCAGUAGCGGGUCUGAGAGGAUGAUCCGCCACACUGGGACUGAGACACGGCCCAGACUCCUACGGGAGGCAGCAGUGGGGAAUUUUGGACAAUGGGCGCAAGCCUGAUCCAGCCAUGCCGCGUGUCUGAAGAAGGCCUUCGGGUUGUAAAGGACUUUUGUUAGGGAAGAAAAGGCUGUUGCUAAUAUCAGCGGCUGAUGACGGUACCUGAAGAAUAAGCACCGGCUAACUACGUGCCAGCAGCCGCGGUAAUACGUAGGGUGCGAGCGUUAAUCGGAAUUACUGGGCGUAAAGCGAGCGCAGACGGUUACUUAAGCAGGAUGUGAAAUCCCCGGGCUCAACCUGGGAACUGCGUUCUGAACUGGGUGACUAGAGUGUGUCAGAGGGAGGUAGAAUUCCACGUGUAGCAGUGAAAUGCGUAGAGAUGUGGAGGAAUACCGAUGGCGAAGGCAGCCUCCUGGGAUAACACUGACGUUCAUGCUCGAAAGCGUGGGUAGCAAACAGG
rnacentral:rRNA from 1 species